UAGAGCCUUCCCUUCUGAAUCAGAAUCAUUCAGUUUGAUUAAUUUGUACGUUUCUAUUAUUGGUUUUGAGUUCAGUAUUCUAGGGUUUCUAUUUUCUUGGUCAUUCUUUUUCCCAUGUGAAGUUCUAGUGGAUAUAUACUAUUGGUUUUGGAGAGACUUGGAAGAUGAAAUAGCUGAACACAAAAUUGAAGUUUGAGCAAGUCUACAAACUUGGACUAGAAAGAAAUUUGCAUAGCUCAGAGGCAGAGCAUUAUUGAACGGACAAAAAUGGUGGGGAAUAUUAUUUGGUGUUUGCAGUGAAGAGCAGCGCAGGGCAAGUAGUGGACAUAUGGCCAUGCGAACAGGGAGGAAGCAUAUCUAUAAUCAUCUCCUCGUUGUAUUUUUGCUAUUGCAUGAUAAAUAUCUAUCAUGAAUUCAUGAUCCAAGGAAAUAAUCGAAAGGAAGGAGAAGUACAAUUCCAUUAUUCUGUACCUCUGUACGUAAACUCCACACAUGUGUUUUCUUGUUUCUGUUGAAGUAAUACACCACCAUUAUUGAAUGGUGAUGAUGUACCAGUACAAAAGAUUAGCAAACCUGUCUCUCAUGUGUUUCUUUUCUUUUCUUUUGUUAUUUUUCUUCUUUUUUAAUGUAGAAAAUUAAGGUAUGAGAGUAUGACACUUGGGAACAUUUACCCUUCUAAGUCCUUGUUUAUGUUUUUGCA